rnacentral:rRNA from 1 species
ACACCGCCCGUCGCUCCUACCGAUCGAGUGUUUAGGUGAAUUUGAUGGACGUAAGGAAGUCAAAUAAACCUGAGCACUUAGAGGAAGGAGAAGUCGUAACAAGGUUUCCGUAGGUGAACCUGCGGAAGGAUCAUUCCAUUAGCGCGCGAUUCAUUGGUUCUCAACCUGCGUAAGCAGCGUAAUAAAGGUUUUUUAGCUUUGGAGGUGUCGGGUACUGAUCCGAGGAAGGACGCAGUUACACGCGAUAUUCAACCUGAAUCGCAAAACUGCGGAUGGUCGGGUGUCUGAAUGCUCAAAGCCAGAGCUACUGGUCACGCUCUAACACACCCCUUCGGUGUCUCACUUCCGCGUGAUGUGAGAAUUCCAAAAUAUUUUCACGUGACCACUAGCGGGGCAUGUAGUUAAUUUAAGCUUAUAAGUUAAUACACAAAGAAACUAAAUAGGAUGGACCGAGUAGUGGCGAAUGAAAAGUCCAAAGACCGAUCCGAAUUCAAGUUGUGGAUCCUACACUUCGGAAGACUCCAAAUCACCUGGAACGGUGGGCCGUAGAGAGUGAUAGCCUCUUUAGAGUCGGAAGAAGC